rnacentral:rRNA from 1 species
UACGGAGGGGGCAAGCGUUAUCCGGAUUUACUGGGUGUAAAGGGAGCGUAGACGGCGAUGCAAGUCUGAAGUGAAAGGCGGGGGCCCAACCCCCGGACUGCUUUGGAAACUGUAUGGCUGGAGUGCAGGAGAGGUAAGUGGAAUUCCUAGUGUAGCGGUGAAAUGCGUAGAUAUCAGGAGGAAUACCGUUAGCGAAGGCGGCAAUCUGGCUGGAAACUGACGCUGAGGUGCGAAAGCGUGGGUAGCAAACAGG